rnacentral:lncRNA from 1 species
GAAAGUGAAAGGAAAUUAAGGGACUGUGGGUGAAGUAACAAGUGGUGAAAGUGAGUGGAAAAGGGUGAUGAUAGUUUUAUGUUUGGGCAGGGUGAAGGAGGGGUGUGGUGUGGUGUCCGAGUGGACAUGUUUUUUUUGUUUUUGUAUUUUGGUAAUAUUGGAAGCUGAUUUGAAAGGCUCCAUCGUUUUCCAUCUUUCAACUGCAAUUUGGGACAUUUCUUUUGACAUGGAUGGAAGUUUUGAUGUACCCCACCACUCAUUGCCUCCAUGACUUUUUUUUUUCUUUUUUGAAAUUCUAAGUAUUUUUUUU